rnacentral:lncRNA from 1 species
CUCAGAAGGAAUGGACAUUGCUAGGCCAUGUCUGUUAGUGAGUCAGUCUGUUCUUUGAAGCGUAGAUGAAACUUAAUGCUAGCAGAUUUUGUAACCAUGCUGUCCACCACAUCCAGAUCCCAGAAGCUGAAUAACAUUUAACAUGCACCUGUUAAAAUAUGGAACUUAACAGUUCUCUAGUAGGCCAGAUCGCCUGAGCUUGCUUCUUAGACGAAGAUGAAUUUUGAAGCUCAAGAUUUUGAAACCAUUCUGUCCAGUGUCCACCACGUCGUCCAGAGGCCUGGGAGUAACAUUUCACAUGUGCAGUGCCUGCUUGCUUUCGAUAAUGCCUUGGCAAUAAAUGCAUGUAUUUGGCUCAUUUGAUCCUAACUCUGGAAACUAGACAAUGUUUCACCCAUCAAAUUGGUUAAGCUGAACUCAGUUCCCCUGAUAGAUUUGUUUGGAAAAUUCAGCAGUUGGCUGGCCAUAUGCCACAUCUACCUAGAGUAUAUCAAAUGGCAAGCGCAAUCUACCUCUGGCCAUCCCCAAAGAAACUUGUGUUUUAACUGAUAAAUUGUUGAUCAAGACUUUCGUCGCCAGUGCAUCCAUCCUUCCAGUACAACAAGUUGCAUCAGUUCCACAGCUAACAAAAGAUUUCACCAGGAAAAUUAGAAGUGGAUAAACUCUUCUCUUUAAUUCGCAUUUAACAGCGCCAUUGGGGCACCUUUGAUAAACAAGUGAAGUAGUACGUCCUACCAUCGACACCAAAAUCGACUCCUGUAGGAUGUAAAGGAACAAAUUCGUAUUUUCAAGUUUGCGAUAAUGGCAAUCCAGUCUCUCGACUGAGAACAACUCCAACUGGGAACAAACUGUCUUUCCCCGUCAGCUGAUUGACCGCAUUUAGUCAUCUUCAAUUUGAUUCUCUUGACAGUAAUUGUGAAGCAUGAGCGACAGUCGGGAACAGCAACAGUGGCCUUCCAUGGAAAUGAUCUCCAGUUCAGCAGCUGCUGCCGAUUAAUCUUCGGAUCACGAGCUUAUUCGCCCUUUCUGUUUUUUUGCUAAUUAUUUGUUUGGCCGGUUGCGUCGACUCCAUUUGCUGCCCUUGUCACCGCACUACUUCCGCCACUAGACGCCAAGUGGGAAAAGGACUUCAAACGUUUUAUUCAUCGUUAAUAUUUUGCAGUCAACAGUACUACGGGAAAGAGCCGACAGCUAAAGGGAAUUGCGCCGGACCACUCCCGACCUGCUUGUGACUUAUCUCUAAAUCGAUAUUUUCGAUGUGAAAACGGUGCGACACAGGAAGAAGAAAUGAAGAGAAGGCAUUGCCAUCGUGUAUCUACCUUGUGGUUCGUGGUAUUGAGUUCGACCCGGUGGUGCAGCACUUCUACUGGAUAUACGUGAGUUCACAAACAAUUCGUCGUGCGCUAGAUAACAGGACCCAGGCUUCAGUUGUUGUGGCCAAUCCAACACGAGUUCUCUUUUGGAGUUGCUCUAGGUUAAAUGCGAUCAACGCUACCAGAAUCGGUAGUCAUAUUUCUGUUGGUAUCCUGGUUGGAGGUCCGUCUCCACCAACUUGCCGUCCCAAAUCUAUUGGUGCCGUAUACGACGUCAAUAAUCGCGACAAGAUAAGAGAAAUAGAUAUCGACCAACCUUCAGCGCUGACUAUCGACACAGAAGAGAAGAUGACAUUUUGAGCUGACACCAAACAACCGCAGGCAGUUGACCUCUUCUAACUUAGUUAAGCCUACAGGAUUAACAGUUCACGGACAGCACAAUUAUUUGUUGAAGAAAGAAGGCGGCGGAGAAAACGACGUUCCAUUCCCUGGAGGUACGCAGAUAUUGGAAACGAGUGAUCGAAUACAAUUAAGUUGUGUUGAAGAGUGGCCAGCUAUAAAUCACAAAUAGAUCAUCCGAGUCCGAGCAUAUGGAAUAAGAAUCAUUCAGAUCACAUAGAUGAACUAUCAGCCCAAAUCAGAAAAUGCAACUGACAACCGGUGAAGUUUUGUUCGCGCUGUAGAAUAACGGAAACAUCUCCAACUCGUCUACCGAUUUCCGAUGGAGCUCUGCUAUGACCCAUGUUAGUUCUAAGCAGGAAAAAAUUAAGAGUUGUGCAGCCUACUGUCCACUUUAGUUCAAAAUCAUUCUAUUCUACUGAAUGUGCCAUCAAAAUAAUACAGGAUUCAUCUCUCAUUCCAUCUUCUGGAGAACCUAGGAUAACUGAUCGGUGGUUUAUUCAUGUAUAAGUUCACUUGUCAUGUCAGUGAACCACAUCGUCCAAUAUCGCCAACCUGCAGAAGUAACUCAUAUUCCCACUCCCAGUGAGUCGUCUGACCAUGUGUCCUGAAAGUGCUGUCCGUAUGCAGAAAUGUCGUCUCGUACUAGAAAGUAGAAACUUGAAUGGAAUGCGCAUCAUAUCUUGCUGAGUGGGUGUAGGAGAAGGGAUAUGAUUGCUACUGUGGGGUCUGAAAGCUUACAAUAUAUACUUGUCAACUCCAUGUGUUGUUGUGGAGUGCUCUACAAUUUCUGAAGACUUUCACUGCAUGUUGGGAUGUUUUGUUACAUGGAGAAGUACUUUAACUUUGAAGAGGAAAUGUGCAAGGGCCAUGCAGCUUACUGUCCAAUAUUUUGUUCAAAAUAAUUGUUUUCUACUGAAUUCAAAAGCUUAAACAAUCUUUUUCCGUAACUUUUGAAAGGUAGAUUAAUUCAAGCUGGUGACUGAUGGUGUUUGCUGCUCAAUGUGAAGAUGGUGAAAGGAGUGCUUGACUCGGAAUAAGCUGCUAUUGUCUCUGGUGUUGGUGAAUCUACAUUCACUUUGCUUACGGUCUUCAACUUCAUUGGACAUGAGGUAAAGAAUCAGUCAAACAAAUGGUGCUGAAGCCUCUUGAAGAAAGAUGAUGGAUUGCUGUUAUAUUAAUCUUCUCAUGCUUCCCCUAGGAAUCAUUUCAAUUGUGAAGUAGCUAUUCUUGUCCAAAGAAACCAAGUACUUGAUAAAGAGUAAUAAUAGGUUAUGUUUUCCUUUGGGGUGAUGAUGGGCAAAUGUUGAGAAUGAUAAGUCAAAGGAAUGAGCUAGAACAAUUUUUUUGGUAGCAUGAAACUGUACUUUGAUAGAAAUUUAAAGAAGCAUGGCUUGCUUGUCUUUCCUUCCGAGACGUUCUUGGAUAGCGUUCACCUCAGUCAUUGUAACAUUGACAGUUCCUUCAAUUUAUAUUUGGCAAUUCAAUUUGAUCAUGCGACCUGCCUUCCCAAAAUGUCGUCUCUUGCUGUAUGUUGCAUGUUUCGUCAAAAGAUGAGUUAUUUUCUCGUCAUUCGUCUAAGCUGCACCGAUAGUGAACCAAUUUAAAGCAACAGGUGAUUUCCUUUUCUCCACAGUGUGGUCGCUGCCGUGCCAUGAAGACGGUCUUGUGCCAUGUGAGGGUCCUAUUAUGUUGCAAGACAAAUGUGUUGAAAGGAGGGAAUCUGUUAAGUUUAGUAAUGCACCUGGCUUUUGCAGACAUCCACUCGAGUUAACAAUUGGAAAGUAUCUAUCGAUCUGUGUGUAUAGAUAUAGUACUUACCUAAUAAUCUGACCACUUUGGCUUCAACUGCAGUCCAUUUGGCUGAAAUGUUGUCCAUUGUUACCUGUGUGGGUUGAUUGUAGGUGUUCCACGCCAUGUUCAGGACAUGGCAAAGGCUGUACUUCAUUGCUGUCAUGCAGGUGAUUUUGUUGCAGCCAGCUGGUGAAAGCGAGUUCAAGUCAAAUUUAGCUGAAGCUUCUGGAAGUAGUCUACAUUGCUGGUGUCAUCCUGAAGAGGGGUAGUGUUACUUGCAGUGUAACAGCAACAAAGACAUUUGAAAAGGGGGGGAGAGUUUUCGUGAAAAGAUAGUAGCCUGCUUGAUCAAUCUGAGCUGACUUGACUUGGUGACAGUGUUAAAUUAAAUGUCAAUCUGCUGCAUGUAUUUCAUGAAGCCGGUGUUUUCCAGAAAUGUUGCAGGGAGACUUGGAGCAUAGAUGCAAGAUAACUUCUGAAAUGGAGUUGGUGGAAAUGGAAGGUGGUUUUGCUGUCUGGUUUCUGUUCAAGCUGUUGUUAUGCUGUAUCUGCUGAAAUUUUUGAAGUAGCUGAUGCUGAUGUUAUCCUACAGUUGGUUUUCCAGUGCAAUUUUGUUUGUCUACUAAAAUAUUUUGUCUUAUUUGUUUUCAUCUGUGUAGUUUAUAAUUCAAACUAUUUGAUAUUUUGGUUAUCAAUGUGGUAUGUUGCAGAUUAUGUUGGUGAAAGUACUUUGUGCGGUUGUCUUCGUUGUCUUAAAGCAAUGUUUCAAUUAUUUACUUCAUACUUGAAACCUAAAACUGAAAUUACUUGUUUAAUUUUGUAAACUUAAUUGCUGUUUCAGCAAAUCAUGUAUAAAACUCGUUAAAUAUACAAUUAAACGUUCAAA